AGGCAGGAGGAUCGCUUGAAUCUGGGAGAUGGAGGUUGCAGUGAGCUGAGAUCACGCCACUGCACUCCAGCCUGGGCAAAAGAGUGAGACCCUGUCUC
rnacentral:miRNA from 1 species